ACAUUUCAAACUCUCAGGUGCAUUGUCAUUAACUACCACUUUUUAUCUGUUUUUUCUUACUUUGGUGUCUAUAAAUCAUAGCAAGUUUUUUCUUACCAGUGUUAAAAAAGGACAACAAAAACAAUGCUACAUACAGUGAUAAUUUACAGUUUUAUUUUGUCCUCUGUACUUCCCAAUCGAGCUGAAGUUAUAAGACAACCUGGAGGAAUUUUUGAAGAAAGUAUUGGCCAAAAUCCGGAUAAAGAAAAAGUAAUAUUCAGCCAAAAAGUAAAUUCUGAUUUGGAAGAGUACGUGGAUUUUACACCAGAGUUAAUGACACCAGACAAGAGUAGCAAUUGGAUAAAAACUGAUGCCAAAGCACAGGCGAAUUAUGUUAAAAAGAAAAUUCCCCCGGAUACCAAAAACUUUAACGAUAAUUUUCACAAGAAGGCAUAUUUAUGGAAUAAUAAUAGGAUGGUAAUGACAGCUAAUGAUUAUCCCGAGAGAACUUACUUCAGAAGAGAAACAACUGAAUAUCCUUAUCGACAAAAGGCGGUUAAAACUUCUUCGACGAGAUUAAAUAACAAAAUGAUUGAAACAAUCACAACAGAAAAUCAUCCCGAGAGAAAUUACAACGGGAGACAAACUGCUGAAUCAAAGUAUCGACAAAAGAAUCCCAAUCGGGUGGAUAAAACUUCUUCGACAAGAAUGAAGAGCAAAAUGUUUACUGCAAUGACAAGCGAAGAUUAUCCGGAGAAAAAUUAUUUGGAGACGGGACCUGAGCAAUCGAAGUAUCGACAAAGGUAUCCCGAUUCGGUGGAUACAACUUCUCCUACAAGAAUAAAGAGCACAAUAUCUGAACCAACGACAACUGCAGAUUAUCCCAAUAUUAAUUAUUUCGGAAGAGAUACAAAUGAAUCUACGUCUCGAAAGAACGAUCUCAGUUGGACAGGGACAAGACAAAAGAACAAAAUGUUAUAUGCAAUAAGAACGGAAGAUUAUUCCAACAGACAUUACAAUAAGAGACAAACUACUGAAUCAACGUAUCGACAAAAUUAUCCCGAUCCUACGGUUAAAUCUUCUUUGACAAGAAUAAAGAGCAAAAUGUUUGAACCAACAAAAACUAAAGAUUAUCCCGAGAGUAAUUACUUAGGGAGAGAGACUAAUGAAGCUACGUCCAAAGAAAAGGAUUUAACUUGGACAAGUAAAACCUCUUCAACAAGAAAAAAGAACAAAAUGUUUAACAGAACAACAAAGGAAGAGAAUUAUGGCGAUACGGUAUCGCUUGAAGACUAUCAUGAGGUAAUACCAGAUGACUAUUACGAUUACAUGAUGCCGAUUGUCAAUUAUGACGAACCAACUGAUUUACACGAAGAAUUUAAUAAAGAGAUCCCAGGAAUUUACAGGAACGAAUUUUCGUCAACUACACCAUACUUUUUAGAUACGACCUUGAAACAAAAUGUAAUUCCGAAUGCUUCAAAGAAAUUAACUUCUCGCAGUAAGUAACUAUGAAAGUCGAAAGACCGAGCCGCUGACAGGAUGAGACCCCGCGGGGAAGAGAAGGACGUGGACUCUGACGAGCAGACAGCACAGGAGCCAGAGGACGUCGGUGACCGCCGCCCAGAGGUCGAAGGUCACAGGGCCGAGCUGCCGGGAGACGGUGCCAACCACCGCAAAGAGGAGGGCCUCCCUCCGACCACGGACUCCCCGCCCGACGACCAACGAAGGUUUUGGCCGCUGCUCGAAGACUGGGAUUCAAUGAGCGCAGACGUGCGGUUCGCGCUGCUGGUGGCCGGCGUGGCGCUGGGAGGGGCGACCUGCUUGCUGCUGGCAUGCGCCGUCUGCUACUACCGGUCGCCCGAGCGGCGCUUCUGCCCGGUCUGCCGCGACGCAGAGUCAGCGGCAGCAGCUGCAGAGCUAGGGGUGCUUCAGCCAUGGACUCCGUCUUGACCUCCCGGGAGUUUAAGUUAGCGAUGAAGGAAUUUAUAAAAACACCAAUGAGCUGAACUAGUUGUGAAUAGACAAGAGAAUUUUCAUUCCACAACGCACGACGAUGCCAGCACUGCGUCACUAUUAUUCAGAUCCUGGAUAUACCUCUGAAGGAAGAAAUUCACGAGCAGGAAUGCUCGCACAACGUGGAAAUGGAAUGCAGCAGAGACUGGAAUUUCAUUACGCGGGCCCCACGCGCCUGAAAGGCACGUUAUUAGUGCAUUAAGACAGCGCUGAGCAGAUUUCUCUUUGCCGAGUUGGGAGAACUUCAUCUAGCCUCGGUAAACUCAAAAUCCUUGUAAAUAUAUUAUACUCAUCAGUCUAUGUAUGCGUGUACGUAGCAUCCAGUGACAGCAAACAUUUUUUUUGACACCCACUUGUUUAAUUGCUAAGUACAUAAUUGUAUAUAAAUUUAUUUCUUAUUGUUUUGUAUUGGUUUUGGCAUUUAAGUUAUAAAAAAAUGGUUUUAAUCACGUUAAAA